GCCUGCUUGGCGCAGUGGUAACGCGUAGCACUUGUAUGUAAUAGCAAUGCUAAGAUCAUUGGUUCGAUUCCAGUAGUAGGCA
rfam:Sclerotinia sclerotiorum 1980 scaffold_9 genomic scaffold, whole genome shotgun sequence.